rnacentral:SRP_RNA from 1 species
GCCGGGCGCGGUGGCGCGUGCCUGUAGUCCCAGCUACUCGGGAGGCUGAGGCUGGAGGAUCGCUUGAGUCCAGGAGUUCUGGGCUGUAGUGCGCUAUGCCAGUCGGGUGUCUGCACUAAGUUCAGCAUCAAUAUGGUGACCUCCCGAGAGCAGGGGACCACCAGGUUGCCUAAGGAGGGGUGAACCGGCCCAGGUCGGAAAAGGAGCAGGUCAAAACUCCCGUGCUGAUCAGUAGUGGGAUCACGCCUGUGAAUAGCCACUGCACUCCAGCCUGGGAAACAUAGCGAUACCCCGUCUCU